GAGGGUAUAGCUCAGGGGUAGAGUAUGUGCUUAGCAUGCAUGAGGUCCUGGGUUCAAUCCCCAGUGCCUCCA
rnacentral:tRNA from 1 species